AUGGCUAAAUACUGGUGGGGAAUCUCUAUUGAUAAACGAUCUCUUCAUUGGCUCUCUUGGGAAAAUCUUGCAAAACCAAAGGUGAAGGGCGGCAUGGGUUUCCAAGAUCUACACCUCUCCAAUCUUGCGAUGCUCGGGAAACAUGGCUGGCACCUUCUUACUAAGCCGGACUCUUUAUGUUCCAGGGUGUUGAAGGGGAAAUAUUUCCCUCAUAUGGAUUUUCUCAAUGCCAUAGCCUCGGCUCGAUCGUCGGCGACCUGGAAGGCCAUCGUUGCGGGGCGAGAUGCCCUAAAUGUCGGUCUUGUUCAUCGUGUGGGUGAUGGAGCAUCCAUAGAUACAUGA
rnacentral:rRNA from 1 species